GUGCACAGUGAACACUCAGGGAAGCCACCGUGGCUCUCCCUGGUCUUGUGUCUGUGCAACAUUGACUCUGAUCUUUGCCUCUGCGUUAGGAGAGUUUAAUCUCUCCUACAUGUAUUCAACUGAUCAGGACAACA
rnacentral:snoRNA from 1 species